rnacentral:rRNA from 1 species
UUAAGUUAGAAAGGGCGCACGGUGGAUGCCUUGACACUAGGAGUCGAUGAAGGACGGGACUAACGCCGAUAUGCUUCGGGGAGCUGUAAGUAAGCUUUGAUCCGAAGAUUUCCGAAUGGGGAAACCCACCAUACGUAAUGGUAUGGUAUCCUUAUCUGAAUACAUAGGGUAAGGAAGACAGACCCAGGGAACUGAAACAUCUAAGUACCUGGAGGAAGAGAAAGCAAAUGCGAUUUCCUGAGUAGCGGCGAGCGAAACGGAACAUAGCCCAAACCAAGAGGCUUGCCUCUUGGGGUUGUAGGACAUUCUAUACGGAGUUACAAAGGAACGAGGUAGACGAAGCGACCUGGAAAGGUCCGUCGUAGAGGGUAACAACCCCGUAGUCGAAACUUCGUUCUCUCUUGAAUGUAUCCUGAGUACGGCGGAACACGUGAAAUUCCGUCGGAAUCUGGGAGGACCAUCUCCCAAGGCUAAAUACUCCCUAGUGAUCGAUAGUGAACCAGUACCGUGAGGGAAAGGUGAAAAGCACCCCGGGAGGGGAGUGAAAUAGAACCUGAAACCGUGUGCCUACAACAAGUUCGAGCCCGUUAAUGGGUGAGAGCGUGCCUUUUGUAGAAUGAACCGGCGAGUUACGUUAUGAUGCGAGGUUAAGUUGAAGAGACGGAGCCGUAGGGAAACCGAGUCUGAAUAGGGCGCCUUAGUAUCAUGACGUAGACCCGAAACCAUGUGACCUACCCAUGAGCAGGUUGAAGGUGCGGUAAGACGCACUGGAGGACCGAACCAGGGCACGUUGAAAAGUGCUUGGAUGACUUGUGGGUAGCGGAGAAAUUCCAAACGAACUUGGAGAUAGCUGGUUCUCUCCGAAAUAGCUUUAGGGCUAGCGUCGACAUUAGAGAUUCUUGGAGGUAGAGCACUGUUUGGGUGAGGGGUCCAUCCCGGAUUACCAAUCUCAGAUAAACUCCGAAUGCCAAUGAAUUAUGGUCGGCAGUCAGACUGCGAGUGCUAAGAUCCGUAGUCGAAAGGGAAACAGCCCAGACCACCAGCUAAGGUCCCAAAAUAAUUGUUAAGUGGAAAAGGAUGUGGGGUUGCACAGACAACUAGGAUGUUAGCUUAGAAGCAGCUAUUCAUUCAAAGAGUGCGUAAUAGCUCACUAGUCGAGUGACCCUGCGCCGAAAAUGUACCGGGGCUAAAACAAUUUACCGAAGCUGUGGAUACCUUUAUAGGUAUGGUAGGAGAGCGUUCUAUGUGUGAUGAAGGUAUACCGUGAGGAGUGCUGGAACGCAUAGAAGUGAGAAUGCCGGUAUGAGUAGCGAAAGACAGGUGAGAAUCCUGUCCACCGUAAGACUAAGGUUUCCAGGGGAAGGCUCGUCCGCCCUGGGUUAGUCGGGACCUAAGGAGAGACCGAAAGGUGUAUCCGAUGGACAACAGGUUGAUAUUCCUGUACUAGAGUAUGUAGUGAUGGAGGGACGCAGUAGGCUAACUAAAGCAGACGAUUGGAAGAGUCUGUCUAAGCAGUGAGGUGUGAAUUGAGUCAAAUGCUUAAUUCUAUAACAUUGAGCUGUGAUGGGGAGCGAAGUUUAGUAGCGAAGUUAGUGACGUCACACUGCCAAGAAAAGCUUCUAGCGUUUAAACAUACUCUACCCGUACCGCAAACCGACACAGGUAGUCGAGGCGAGUAGCCUCAGGUGAGCGAGAGAACUCUCGUUAAGGAACUCGGCAAAAUGACCCCGUAACUUCGGGAGAAGGGGUGCUGACUUUAAGUCAGCCGCAGUGAAUAGGCCCAAGCAACUGUUUAUCAAAAACACAGCUCUCUGCUAAAUCGUAAGAUGAUGUAUAGGGGGUGACGCCUGCCCGGUGCUGGAAGGUUAAGAGGAGUGCUUAGCGUAAGCGAAGGUAUGAAUUGAAGCCCCAGUAAACGGCGGCCGUAACUAUAACGGUCCUAAGGUAGCGAAAUUCCUUGUCGGGUAAGUUCCGACCCGCACGAAAGGUGUAACGAUUUGGGCACUGUCUCAACCAGAGACUCGGUGAAAUUAUAGUACCUGUGAAGAUGCAGGUUACCCGCGACAGGACGGAAAGACCCCGUGGAGCUUUACUGUAGCCUGAUAUUGAAUUUUGGUACAGUUUGUACAGGAUAGGCGGGAGCCAUUGAAACCGGAGCGCUAGCUUCGGUGGAGGCGCUGGUGGGAUACCGCCCUGACUGUAUUGAAAUUCUAACCUACGGGUCUUAUCGACCCGGGAGACAGUGUCAGGUGGGCAGUUUGACUGGGGCGGUCGCCUCCUAAAGUGUAACGGAGGCGCCCAAAGGUUCCCUCAGAAUGGUUGGAAAUCAUUCGUAGAGUGCAAAGGCAUAAGGGAGCUUGACUGCGAGACCUACAAGUCGAGCAGGGACGAAAGUCGGGCUUAGUGAUCCGGUGGUUCCGCAUGGAAGGGCCAUCGCUCAACGGAUAAAAGCUACCCCGGGGAUAACAGGCUUAUCUCCCCCAAGAGUCCACAUCGACGGGGAGGUUUGGCACCUCGAUGUCGGCUCAUCGCAUCCUGGGGCUGUAGUCGGUCCCAAGGGUUGGGCUGUUCGCCCAUUAAAGCGGCACGCGAGCUGGGUUCAGAACGUCGUGAGACAGUUCGGUCCCUAUCCGUCGCGGGCGUAGGAAAUUUGAGAGGAUCUGCUCCUAGUACGAGAGGACCAGAGUGGACUUACCGCUGGUGUACCAGUUGUCUUGCCAAAGGCAUCGCUGGGUAGCUAUGUAGGGAAGGGAUAAACGCUGAAAGCAUCUAAGUGUGAAACCCACCUCAAGAUGAGAUUUCCCAUGAUUAUAUAUCAGUAAGAGCCCUGAGAGAUGAUCAGGUAGAUAGGUUAGAAGUGGAAGUGUGGCGACACAUGUAGCGGACUAAUACUAAUAGCUCGAGGACUUAUCCAA